UUUUACCGGAAACUUCGUAUACACCAGCCUCGUUUUAGCAGUUAACUGGAAAAAAAAUCGUCUGCCAGUAGUCCAGUAAUACAAGUUCGUGGGGUAUAUAUAUAUGUGUUCGUUAAAUCCCGUGCAGCAGAGCCAGCCGCCAUCCUCACCCACAAAAUAAAGCCAGGUGUGCACCAGGGUAUGUUUCAGACUGUAGUCGUUGAGUGACUAUCCAUGAGCAUCUGUCUCAUUACGUCUGUACGUGUAUAUGACAUGUCCAUCCAUGCGUUGGUUCAUGCGUCAACAAGUCUCCUUUAUUCGUACGUCCGUCUGCCUGUACACUUGCACACGUGUCAUUUCAGGUUACAUUAAACAGGCAGGACCAGGAGGGACCAGGAGGGAUCAGGAGGGACCAGGAGGGAGACGGGGCAGGCUGUUCGCUAAAUCGACUGAUCAGGCCGGAGGAAAUUGUCUCCCAUUCAGCGCCAGCAGGGAACACAUAUUCUACAUUUCCAGAAAGUACCGCUACCAGAAUUCGUCAUUGGUCUUGCUUUUGGUGAGUGGAACUGUCG